rnacentral:rRNA from 1 species
UACGCAGGGGGCAAGCGUUGUCCGGAAUCAUUGGGCGUAAAGCGCGUGUAGGCGGCCCGGUAAGUCCGCUGUGAAAGUCGGGGGCUCAACCCUCGAAUGCCGGUGGAUACUGUCGGGCUAGAGUGCGGAAGAGGCGAGUGGAAUUCCUGGUGUAGCGGUGAAAUGCGCAGAUAUCAGGAGGAACACCAAUUGCGAAGGCAGCUCGCUGGGACGUGACUGACGCUGAGACGCGAAAGCGUGGGGAGCAAACAGG